GCUGAGGUGGUGGAAUUGGUAGACACGCUACCUUGAGGGGGUAGUGCCUAAUAUUUGGGUGUGCAGGUUCGAGUCCUGUUCUCAGCA
rnacentral:tRNA from 1 species